rnacentral:rRNA from 1 species
AGAAUCAACGCUGGCGGCGUGCCUAACACAUGCAAGUCGAACGAGAAAGUGGAGCAAUCCAUGAGUAAAGUGGCGCACGGGUGAGUAACACGUGACUAACCUACCCUCGAGUGGGGAAUAACUUCGGGAAACCGAGGCUAAUACCGCAUAAAACCUAAGGGUCAAAGGAGCAAUCCGUUUGAGGAGGGGGUCGCGGCAGAUUAGUUAGUUGGCGGGGUAAUGGCCCACCAAGACGAUGAUCUGUAUCCGGCCUGAGAGGGCGCACGGACACACUGGAACUGAAACACGGUCCAGACUCCUACGGGAGGCAGCAGUGGGGAAUUUGCGCAAUGGGGGAAACCCUGACGCAGCAACGCCGCGUGGAGGAUGAAAUCCCUUGGGAUGUAAAACUCCUUUCGAUCGGGAAGAUAAUGACGGUACCGGAAGAAGAAGCCCCGGCUAACUUCGCGCCAGCAGCCGC